ACGUCUUGUAAGUGUCCACUAAAAAACAGAAUUUUAUGCAAUACCAGCAAACAGUAAGUGUGAACUUCUCCGUUUACAUUCAUCUAAAGAAUUACGUAUUUUUUUAAAGUAAUCUGGAAGUCAAAAGAUUAUAGUCUAGAGAGUUCAAUCAUUGGAUUUUGGGAAGAAUUCAUCUUACUGAUAAAUAAUGAAUAGAGAAAAAAAAUACAAAAUAGGUUUUGGGUCAGUGCUAAAUAGGUUAGGAAUUGUUUGGCGUUGGUGUAGUGUUGGAGCAUUACUACUACUUGGUUCACUUCCAUUUAAAGGGUCUUGCUUGAAGAUAUCUUUGAAGCCAUAAACACAGUUGUCUUGAUUUCAAAUAGGGGUCAUGGGUUGAGCUAUUAAGCUGAACUUGUUGUUACGCCUCUGAACAUCUACCUCUUUCCUGUAGGUGUUGAUCCUGGUGCUUGUCGCCAUUCAUGAGGAAAGAUAGUCGGUCUUUGAACGGGUGAGUGAUCUUGCUGUUGCUGGGAUGCUAUUCAACAUGGGGAUUUGAUCUCCCUUGAGGUGCAGUGUAGCGAGAUAUAUGCCGCUGCCACUUGUGGAUUUAUUGUUGAGAUGGUCGCUCAACCUCAAUAUUGAUUAGUCCUUCCCCUAGAUUUUGCCCAACAUGCUCUGUAGGUCAUCAGUAAGAACAAAAAGUAUGCCUCUAAGCUGUCUGUGUUUAUUCUACAAAGUAAAUUAGUAUGGCUGCACACGGUUGACUGUUCUUGACCAGUUUUUGUAGUAAUUUGUAUGGCUGACAAAUUUCAGCAGUAAUUAACAUGGCUUCAGUCCACCGUGUCUGAUUUUCAGCAGGCCAACCUGAUUAAUGCUAGUGCAACUCAUCUUCAAAAGUACAUGGAUGCAGUGUGAAAUUUGUUCCUGCUGUUGUUGUUUAGAUAGAUCACACUAGAACAUUUUGUACGAACCACUUACUCAAGUGAGAGAGAUAGGCUUCUUCAUAGUUCAUCUAUUUCCCGGCAAAAGCAGAAAGUGUAACGCCAUUUGUUCCCUGUGUGAAUAAAUUUGUGUUCCUAUGUGAAGUAAUGUUUUGUUCCUGGACUAAGAACAUUCUGUCCUAGUGUGGAUAAUAUUUUAUUCAUCUGUGAAUUACCUUUAUUAAAAAACCAUAUUGAUUGAGAACUAAAAAGGACAUGCUUUUUUAGUAUUCUAGAA
rnacentral:lncRNA from 1 species